GGGCCCGUAGCUCAGCAAGGCAGAGCGGCGGACUAACCACCCGUAGGUCGCGGGUUCAAUUCCCGCCGGGCCCGCCA
rnacentral:tRNA from 1 species